GGAUCAUGCCUGGUUCUUCUCCCACUCCCCCAGUUUAUUUCCAUGAAUUAAUAGGUGGCUCAUUCUUCCUCUCCCCUCUUUUGAAUUUUUAUUAUAAAUGCAUAGAUGUAAGACUGACAUUGGGGACGCGGGUGGCGCUGUGGGUUAAACCACUGAGCCUAGAACUUGCCGAUCAGAAGGUCGGAGGUUUGAAUCCCCACGACGGGGUGAGCUCCCGUUGCUCGGUCCCCGCUCCUGCCAACAAAAGCAUGUCAUAGUGCAAGUAGAUAAAUAGGUACCACUCCGGCGGGAAGGUAAACGGCGUUUCCGUGCGCUGCUCUGGUUCGCCAGAAGCCACUUAGUCCUGCUGGCCACAUGACCCAGAAGCUGUACGCCGGCUCCCUCAGCCAGUAAAGCGAGAUGAGCGCUGCAACCCCAGAGUCGGCCAUGACUGGACCUAAUGGUCAGGGGUCCUUUUACCUUUAAGACUGCCAUUAACAAUUCCCUGGUGUUGCUAAAUUUCCAUAUCAGCCAAAGGACCAACAUUUCAGCAAACACCCGUUGACUUGUUGGGUACAAUCAAGCUCCAGGCAAUUGUUAUGCUUCUUCUUCUUCUUCUUCUUCUUUGGCAAUCCCUCGUAGCCGAGUCAGAUUGUCUUCCAUAAAUACGGUUUUAAUGAGUCUGUAAGUGACUGUGGAGGCCAAUUCUGGAUCCACACGUCCUUCCACAGUGGAGACAUAGGUUUCCGGGUGGGAAUUGAUCAAGGUGUGGAUUGCCCAAGUGUGCCUUCCUCUUAGCAUGUUUCCAAAUGAAAAAAUUGUUAUGAACAUUCCCCCUUGUUGAGGGACUUGUUUGUUGCAUUGCUGUAUCCGGCCUUUUCCACCCAGGAGCUCGGAUGUGGCGCACGUGGUUUUCUCUCUCUCCUCAUGGAAUCCCCACCACAACCCUGAGAGGGAGAUUUGGCCAAGAGGAGGCAGUACCUGGCCCAAGGUCACACCUGAUGGACUUCUGGCUGAGGGGGGAUUGGAGCCCUGGUCUCCCCCCCACCAGCGCCCCAUUCCGACUCUCUCUGCACUCUGCCACCACUGGCUGGCAAUGGGAUGUUGCUGCGUUGGACCCGGGGGGGAGACGCAGCUCUUGGGCCCUUGGCAGCCACUGAGGCAAAACCCACACCCAAUGCCCACACAAUGGGAGGUUUCCAAUUCUAGCAGCAUUUUAUACAUUAUGGAUUAUUAUUCAGCAGGCCUUUUUCUAACCAAAUAAUUUGAUUUACAAAAUCAUUCUUUCUCCCCAACUUAAAUAAUUCAUUAAGUUGGUGAUGCUGUAACCAAAUCAUCGUCUUUUUCUGUUACUUCUUCCUACUUCCUUAAUUUAAUCUCACCACCAGCCUCUGUUUAUUAUUAUUAUUAUUCCAUUCUUUAUAAUCACACUUUCAUCCAGGGGCAUCAAAUAACUUACAGAAAAAUCAUUCAGUCGAAAAUCUAACCAACCUCUGUUAACAGAUCUCUCUCUCUGUUUCCCAUUCUUCUCUCAUGUUUCUUUUUCUCACUGGUAUGGCUUCGAUAUGUGAAAGCCAUAAUGGUGUUUUCCUUUCCGGCAAGUUUUUAUAGUUUCCCCACACUUGGUAUAAUUUUUUCCCUGAUUUUUGAAACCUUUAUAUACUUGGCAUUUUCCGUAACAUAAGUAGAUGUUUUUUAGCUCUUUGUAUUUUAUCUGUCUUGUUUUAAUUAGUGUAAGCCGCCUUGAGCCCUGCUCUGGGGAAAAAGUGGAAUAUCAAUGAAUAAUAAUAAUAAUAAUAAUAAUAAUAAUCGCCACCUCAGAAGGUCAUGGAGGUUUUUAUGCAGAGCUUGGGUGGCCAUCUGUCAGGGAUUUGUUAGCUGCAAUUCCUGUUUUGCAGAGGGGUUAGACUAGAUGGCCCUUGGGGGUCCCUACAGUUCUCUGAUUCUUCGAUUCCAUGACUGUCUGUGCCUUGUAUCCUCCUUUCUAGGUCCAGAGACCUCUGCAGCAGCAGCAGCAGCAGCAUCUCUUUCCCGUGGUGGUGAUGAUGUAGUGAUGCGGCGCCAGGGGGGAGCCCCUUCUCAGGGGAAAAAAGCCUCCGGUCAUCAGCUUCUCUGUCUGCUGAUCAAGGAUGCAGAGGUGUCUCUCAGCAACUGCUUGCCCAAGAAGCGGCCAGAGAGCCAGGAGGGCACCUCUGUGGGCAAGGGAAAGGUCUCCUCUCCAGAAGCACCCAUCUCCAAAGAAGGCGGCACCCUUCUCCCAAAGGAACCAGGACCUCCCAUUCUCUGUAAGAAGAAGAGACCCCAGGCUGAGAACAGAACAGAAGCCGUCUUUCCUUCCGCUGGAAAGACCCCAGUGGGACAGGAGGGGGUCUUUGGAGUCACCUCUGGUGAGAAACCAGCCUCCAGUGCCAAGCCAGCGUCUAAUAUUCAGCAUGGCAAACCCACAUCUUCUGGCCAGCCGGUGGUGAUAGGAAAGCCAGCUCCGGGUGGUAGGAACAAGACCCACUGCAGACCCCUCCCCAAGGAAAAGCCAGUAACGGACAAGAAGCCAGCUCCUCCUGUUGGGUCCAUGGCCCAUGUCAAGCCCACAUCUGGAGAGCAUCCAUCUGGGCAGGUGAACCACGCCAAGCCCACAUCUGGAGAGCAUCCAUCUGGGCAGGUGGACCACACCAAGCCCACAUCUGGAGAGCAUCCUUCUGGGCAGGUGAACCACGCCAAGCCCACAUCUGGAGAGCAUCCAUCUGGGCAGGUGGACCACGCCAAGCCCACAUCUGGAGAGCAUCCUUCUGGGCAGGUGAACCACGCCAAGCCCACAUCUGGAGAGCAUCCUUCUGGGCAGGUGAACCACACCAAGCCCACAUCUGGAGAGCAUCCUUCUGGGCAUGUGGACCACGCUAAACCCACAUCUGCAGAGCAUCCUUCUGGGCAGGUGAACCACACCAAGCCCACAUCUGGAGAGCAUCCUUCUGGGCAUGUGGACCACGCCAAGCCCACAUCUGGAGAGCAUCCAUCUGGGCAGGUGGCCCAUGUCAAGCCCACAUCUGGAGAGCAUCCUUCUGGGCAUGUGGACCAUGCCAAGCCCACAUCUGGAGAGCAUCCUUCUGGGCAGGUGGCCCAUGUCAAGCCCACAUCUGGAGAGCAUCCAUCUGGGCAGGUGGCCCAUGUCAAGCCCACAUCUGGAGAG
rnacentral:lncRNA from 1 species